rnacentral:rRNA from 1 species
UGCCCUCUGGCGGCCGGCCUAACACAUGCAAGUCGAGCGGAUGAAGGGAGCUUGCUCCUGGCUUCAGCGGCGGACGGGUGAGUAAUGCCUAGGAAUCUGCCUGGUAGUGGGGGAUAACGUCCGGAAACGGGCGCUAAUACCGCAUACGUCCUGAGGGAGAAAGUGGGGGAUCUUCGGACCUCACGCUAUCAGAUGAGCCUAGGUCGGAUUAGCUAGUUGGUGGGGUAAAGGCCUACCAAGGCGACGAUCCGUAACUGGUCUGAGAGGAUGAUCAGUCACACUGGAACUGAGACACGGUCCAGACUCCUACGGGAGGCAGCAGUGGGGAAUAUUGGACAAUGGGCGAAAGCCUGAUCCAGCCAUGCCGCGUGUGUGAAGAAGGUCUUCGGAUUGUAAAGCACUUUAAGUUGGGAGGAAGGGCAGUAAGUUAAUACCUUGCUGUUUUGACGUUACCAACAGAAUAAGCACCGGCUAACUUCGUG